UGAUAGGGUGGGGUUAUGAUAGGUUAUUGUGAUAGGGUGGGGUUAUGAUAGGGUGGGGUUAGGAUAUGUUAUUGUGAUAGGGUGGUACAAUGAUAGGGUGGUGCAAUGAUAGGGUGGGUUUGUGAAAAGUUAUUGUGAUAGGGUGGGGUUAUGAUUGGGUGGUGUUAUGAUAUGGUGGUGCAAUGAUAGGAUGGGUUUGUGAAAGGUUAUUGUGAUAGGGUGGAGUUAUGAAAGGUUGUUGUGAUAGGGUGAUAUUAUUAUAGGGUGGUAUAAUAGAGUGGGUUUAACUAGAGUGGGUUUAACUAUUUCAGAUGUCCUUAAAAGUGUAGUUGACAGUAGUCUUUUC
ensembl:lncRNA